rnacentral:sRNA from 1 species
AAAAGGCAAAAAAAAA